rnacentral:rRNA from 1 species
UACGAAGGGGGCUAGCGUUGUUCGGAUUUACUGGGCGUAAAGCGCACGUAGGCGGAUGUGUCAGUCAGGGGUGAAAUCCCGGAGCUCAACUUCGGAACUGCCCUUGAUACAGCACGUCUUGAGUCCGAGAGAGGUGGAUGGAAUUCCUAGUGAUAGAGGUGAAAUUCGUAGAUAUCAGGAGGAACACCAGUGGCGAAGGCGCUUCUGGACGGUAACUGACGCUGAGACACGAAAGCCAGGGGAGCAAACGGGG